AAGUAAAACGUCAAAGUUCUCCUGCACAAAGGCUUACUGGUGCAAAACCUUUAGUAGCUUUAAUCCAAUUCCAAGAAUCUUGAGUUCAGCAUAUUUCUAAAAUUUGAGCCUAAUCAUCAUUCUGGAAUAGAAUCAGGGAAACCUUCUUGCAGUGUCUCUUGCACAGGUUUUCUUUAUCUGUACUUCUUGUAGGUUGUUGUAUUUGGAAACUUAUUGGCUCAAAAACCGUCGAUCAUUUACAUUUUGGAAGAUUAUUUUAUUCAAAUUUUAUUAGAACAUAAAUGAUGCAGUAUUUUCAGUUGAGUUAGAUCAUGAUAUUUUUAGCUCUCUUUGAAUCUUUUCAGUUAGCUGUUUUUUUGGUAAAAACUUGAUAUAAGUUGUUUGAGGUUGGAGAAACUCGCCUGGCAAGUAUCCAUUCCAUCCAAGUAGAAUUCCUAUGGACAGCUACAAUUAAUAGGAUUUUGAUUGAAAGCCAGCCAAUCUUUUGGAAUUAGGCUAUGGCAACAGGCUGUGUGUGUGUUAUUUUUCUUUUUCUUCUUCCCUUCUUUGGUUUUUUUUUUUUUUGUUGUUGUUGUUGUCAGUUUUGAUUCUUUUUACUUGCCUAAGUAGGAAAUAUUGCUCAUCUGCCCCAUAUGUUGUGGAAUGUUUCUCAUUUUCCCUGUUACGUCUACUGAGGAUGAGGAAUUGGCCUAUCCUUUUAUACAGUUAGUGGAAAAGAAUGCUUUAAACAGGGCUAUAUCCCAUAUUCUAUAUGAAUCUUUUCCUAAAGGAGACCCAUAGUUGGGUAUUCAUGUUGAGUAGGCAUUUAUACUAUGUAAAUUCAAUGUUGAAGUACUUUGCUUUUCAGAGCACUGAAUUUACUGCAAAAUACAUAGUUCUCAUACUUCUGAUUAUACCUGGCCACCUUUUUUUUUACUGUUUGAGCCAAAAUUAGCUAAAUUUUAUGGCAAAUCACCAUUAACAUUCAAGAUAACAUGACCUUUUAAUCAAGAUAUUAACUGCAUAAAGCAACAUAUAACAUUCAUGAACAAUAAGGCUGAAAGAGGCAAAAACAUGCAUCCAUCAAUAUCUUACAUAAACACAUUCAAAACCUGUGGUUGGAUGAAAUAUGUCUAAAUAUGUAAAUGCUCUAUGUGAUAGGUUAUAUGAUAAAAUUUUACCUUUCUAAACUUGCAAGUAUCAAAAAAACUCUAAACAAUGUCCAAGCAAUGUCCCAAAAAGAGGUCAUCAUGUUUUAUGGAUGUAGAAAACCUUGCAAAAGAAUUUCAAAGCACUCCCCUUUAGAUGUGAAACAAGCAUAGAAGAAUUGGAUAGGAUUUAGAGAUUUAUAAAGAAAGCUAUCUUAAACUUUUAUAAGAUGGGAGAAAAUAUGAAAAUGAAAUGGUGUUAGACAAUAUUCUAAAUGCUUCAGAGAGAAGAGCUCUGUAUGGGAGAGGCAAAAGAAAACAAAAGAAAAAUGGCAUGUACAUUUAAGCAAUAACAAUCUUUUAAGAAAAAUGGCAUAAACUUGGUUUUUUCUUAAAACUACUUAGAAAAAUGUGCAUGUACUGCAUGUGUCAUAUCUUGUAGCAUUAAGUUUGUGAUAACUGCAGUUAAUUGACAUUAGUUUCAAGAUUGCAUGAAAGAUAUGCAUGUAGGAUUGGACUUCCCAAUUCCAAUGAGAAAGGAGAGACUGAAAGUGAUGUUGCCCCAUUGGAUUAGAUUAGCAUUGUCGAAAGUGGAACAAAGGGCUUCCAGAAAGUUGUGUGGCUGAUGAAUGUCUAUCAUAACUAGGGUACAAUUGUGUAAAGUGAUUAUAGCAUCAACCUUACUUUAUGGAGUAUGUUUGACAGUUAAGAAUACAAUAUCUCUAUUAUAUGUGCAUUGGGGAAAUGAUGUUGAGAUGGAUGAGUUGCUGGACAAGAAAGGGUGGAAUCGGAAAUGAAUCCAGUUGAGUAACUGGCAACACAAACUGAGGACAUGGGGAAAGGGAAUCAGUAAUGAAGACCAAUGAUUACACCAGUACAGACAAGUGAUCUGUCAUUUUCCAAUUCUUAAUGAAUUAUAAUAGAAAUCUCAAUCUUCGUUGGAUUUGAACUGGAAUGGUUGCUGAAGCCAAUAUUUGGAACAUUGCUAUUGUCUAUCUAUGACCAUUUGAGGACAAGUUAGGUGGUCCAUGGACCCAUUCUCCAUUACUUUGGUUCAAGAUACAUUUUUAAGUAGGAAAAGAAAACGACCAAGCGAUACUUGUUGGGUGAUAGUCUUUGAUUUUGUAGAACAUACUAUGUGAUUUAUUUCCUGAUCCCUCAGACAACAGAUUUAAAUCCCUCUGUCUAUGUUAUUUGUUUGCAAUUUAAUUAGUAGUUAUGGUCAGUAGAUCCAUACCCCUUUCACUAAUAUUACUCUCUUAUGCACUUUACAUGAGUGGUUGAAUCUGGGAUUUUCACCCAAUGAAUGUUGCUCAAGUGUCAAUUCCAGACACCUUGGCAAGAUGCUUCCUUUCUUACUGACACAUGCUGUUUUCAAGUUGGCACCAGCUCUUUGUUAAAAAUUUUCUUUGGUAUACAGAACUACUUGAGUUUUGGUUCAUGUAUUCUUCUGUAUGCUGGGAUGCAGGUUCCAUGGUUGAUUAAUUCUUAAUUUUGCAUAUGUGAAUUUUAGAAUGAGGAACUUAAGAAACCCUAGGGGAUUUUGGUGUUGUACUAGAAAGAGUGGGCAGCAGAUGCAUCAAUGCAGGCAAACUGAACUUUUCUGAUUGAGAGUUAAAUAAAGCAGACAACACUUUUGGUCUGAAAUAUAUUCUCAUACAGUCAACAUGUCUCACAUGAAAGUAUGCCUUAAUAUUCUUCCUUGCUUUUCCUGUUUAGGAGCGGGUGUUGGGUUACUUAUUAGGGUUCUCCAUAUGGUUUCUACAAUGUUGCUUCUUCCCUUUUUUAACAACAGAAACACAGAGAGAGAGAGGGAAAGCCCAAAAAAAAAAAAAAGAAAGGAGAAGUUAAUAGCUAUUGACCCUAUGAUUUUCCAACAUGAACACCUGGAGUUGGUUUGUACCAUAUGUGGCCCCUCAAUAAUUUUGAAUUUGUCAACUUCAUUUCGUCGUAUUUGCUAUGCAACAAGCAAUUAGAAUUUUCAAAAGGGUGCUGGCCCUUUGAGCUGAGGAUAUUUGCACGAGACGAAUACUAAUGUGAUCAAUGAUGAGACAGCUUGGUUGGGAGAUGGGAAGUUGCCGUCAUACUUUUUCUACAUACAGAAAAAUCAGGACCCAUUAGGCAGGUCCAUUUCCACUAAUGAAAUAUCCUCAGCAGCCUGCAAUGAGCUUGGCCACUUGGUUAAUUCUCCACUGUUGGAUCUUCUCACAUGCCAUAGUUGAUUGUGACUAGCUUGGCGGCCCCAUUUGUAGCAAACAUUUCCGAAGGCUCUGUGCAUGGAGCCCUUUUAUCAUCUCUAUGGGGGGAAUCACACAAUACUUGUGAGUGCUUUCCGCACCAGCCAUGGUGUGCCAAGUCAAUCAUCAACUGUUACAAGUUUAAAAGAAAAGGUUCGUUUUCUUUUUGAGUUUUGCAUAGGUGCCAUGUGGCCCGGCUUUCAAUUGCUCAAAUAUUUUAAACGGACUCCUUUUUCAUAAUGUUUGGUGGAUGGCAUGCUGUAUUACCUGCUUUUGAAUUAUAUCGGCCAUUUUAA